AUUUGGCUAUACGUUUUAAUUUUUAACUCUAAUUAUUGUGAUAUUUUUUUAUUUUUUUAUUUUUUAUUUUAAUUUUUUGUAAAAUGUUUUAUUUUAUUUUUGUUUUAGGAAAAUAUUUAAAAUUUGGUUUGUUGAACUGGAUUAGUACCCAGGUAAUCAAAAUUAAUUAAUUCGGGAGUAAAGUUUUAUUUAAACCGAAAAAAUAUUGACUGACUUUAGAUUUUUUUUUGGAACAUGUGUAUGGAGAGCCCUCCUUUGAAGUAAAUUUUUUAUGCUCAUGUAUGAUUGUUUAGUUUUUAUGUUAUUCUGUAAUGCUUUUUUUUGAUUUAAAACAGAUAUAUACUUGGCUAAUGGAUUUAUAAAUCAUGUGUUACUAUUAGUAAUUUUUUUUGGAUAAUAUUUUAUUUUUUAUUUGAAAUUGGAAAAAAAAGUAAUUAUUUUUUUAUGUUUUAAUGAAUUUAAUAAAUAGAGUGGUACAAACC
rnacentral:rRNA from 1 species